AUGAUGAUGUCCGGAAGACAAUGGAGGUUCUCGCGGAAUUGCGUUCAAAAGAUGCUCGAUUGUACUACAGAGUACAAUCUGACAGUGAUAGUCCAGAAUGUGCUUUGGUCAACUGAAGCCAGCAGGAUGCAAUACCGUUACUUCGGAGAUGCAAUAACAUUUGAUAUAUCAUACCGCGCAAACCUGUACGAUAUGCCGUUUGGACUAUUUGUGGGAGUGAACAACCACUUCCAAAGCAUUAUCUUUGGCGGGGUGCUUAUCAGGGAUGAGACAGGGGAAACAUUUGAGUGGGUAUUUAGUGAAUUUAUCCGCAUGAUGGGUGGCAAGCAUCCCCAAACCUUGCUGACAGAUCAGAGCAGGGCUAUGGAAGUUGCAUUACAAAAGGUGUUGCCCCACACAACCAACCUAUGGUGCAAAUGGCAUAUUCUUAAGAAGGCAAAGGAAUCUCUUGGUCCAUAUUAUGCAAAACGGAGCAAGUUUAGAUCAAACUUCCACAAAAUCGUGCAUCACAUGCUUAUAGUCGAUGAGUUUGAAACUGCAUGGGCAGUGCUGACUGAGACACAUGGACUGCAAAAACACCCUUACCUCACACAGAUAUAUGAAGUGAGGACAAAGUGGGCGAAACCAUACUUCAAGGGUAAUUUUUGUGCAAAAAUGACAAGCACACCAUGCAGCAAGAGUGCCAACCAUAUGCUCAAGGAAUAUGUCCCGGCAAGCUGCCCCAUGCAUUUAUUUUUAUGGAAAUACAUGAGGCUUCUUUUUGAUCGGGAAGCAAGCGAGAACUAUGAAGAAUGGCGUACAAAGACAACAUCUCCCGUGAUUAAGAUGAACACCCCGUUGGAGUUCCACGCUAGAACAUCUACACCCUCGCUAUGUUCGAGAAAUUCGGCGAGAUCCUGUAUGAAGCAGGACAAUACAAAGUGGAGGAGGUCGAAAAAGGUGCAAAAUACUAUGUACACCGAUACCACCCAGAGAAGCAUGACAAAUGGUGCAGGGCGUUGUACGUGGUGGAAGUUGUGGACCAAGGCAAAGAGCUUACAUGCGAAUGUGGUAACUUCGAGCACACAGGGUUGCUGUGCUGCCACGCAGUUAAGGUCCUUGAUUUCUUGGGUAUAG
rnacentral:rRNA from 1 species